rnacentral:tRNA from 1 species
AAGUAAGAAGCAAUUUUGUAGUUAGUUUCGACCUAAAAGAAGAUAUUAUAUAUCCUUAUUUA